GUCACUGUGGUCUAAUGGUUAGACGUCCGGUAUGGUUCCAAACGCAACUGUAGUCACUUUCAUCGGGAGUUGCCGGUUCGACUCCAGCCAGUGACG